CUGAUGCAAUAUUAUUAUUACACUAACACUCAGAUUGUCUAACACACCGUGUUCCUGCAAGUUCUUCUCCGUAAACAGCACAAUGUCAAAGUAGCACAGGUAUGCAUUUGUAUGUUUGUGAAUGCACAUAAUGUAUUUUCCUAUCCUUUGUCUGAAUGCCCUCUGACAGUGUAAAAAUGAACGCAAGAAAGGCUCAUACUCUUAUACUCAAACUCUUUUUUUUUGGCAAGUUUAGAAGAACUUCAGACCUUCAAGCAGUCAACAUAUACCAGGCAAGCAGUCAACAUAUACCAGGCAAGUUCAUUUUCUACAAGAUGUCUGCAAAGACAUGGAAAGCAGAUGAACCUUUUGCUUUUUUACUUCUACAAGAAAGUCUGUUGUAAAGAAAAAGUGGUUUUCAUGCUCAAAUAAUUAAUAUUUGUGAUCAAAACUCAUUGUUUGUGCAUCGAUGUAUUUUUCUUUAAAGGAGACCCAGACCUUAAGUUUAAAAACAUAAAUGUAACACAGAGGAUGUAAUUGGUUUUAUCUUGGAUAAAUUAUGGACCAAACUUCUAAUUAAAUUUUGAAUUUAAAAUCUUCAACAUUUCUCCAAAGGGUAUCACAUUUCUGACUCUGAGCUGGAG